CAGGUGAAUGAUCUAGUAGAGGUAGUGGGAACUCUGCUUCAGCAGAUUCAAGGAGGGGCGUGUGUAGUAGGAUCUGGAUGUGGGUUCAUCUUCUUGGGCUAGGCCUGUGGUAGGGGAAAGGGGAAUUUAGAGAGAUAACUGUCCGCUUUGAGUAGGCUGUUGAUUACUCCCCGCCCUCUGCCAGAUACCUCCUUCCCAUGAGGAACAAGGCCAGUAAACGUAAAACUCCUGUGAUGAAGAAGACCCUGAAUCCUCACUACAACCAUACAUUUGUCUACAAUGGUGUGAGGCUGGAAGAUCUACAACAUAUGUGCCUGGAACUGACUGUGUGGGACCGGGAGCCCCUGGCCAGCAAUGACUUCCUGGGAGGGGUCAGGCUGGGUGUUGGCACUGGGAUCAGUAAUGGGGAAGUGGUGGACUGGAUGGACUCGACUGGGGAAGAAGUGAGCCUGUGGCAGAAGAUGCGACAGUACCCAGGGUCUUGGGCAGAAGGGACUCUGCAGCUCCGUUCCUCAAUGGCCAAGCAGAAGCUGGGUUUAUGAGUCCCUGUCCUCUUCUGCAGGUCCAGCCCUGGCGAGGGCAAGUCAGAGGAAGUGAAGAAAUCAAGAGCAAAGAUUUAUAAUUUAAUGUGUGUGUGUGUGUGUGUGUGUGUGUGUGUGUGUGUCUGUGUACAAACAUGUAUUUUCUGCAAAUCUCAUUGUGCUGGCUGGAGUGAUGCAGACUUGUUCUCCUUUUUAAAGCAGUCUCAAGAAUAAGCAUUUCUUCAAAAUGUUUCUGUGUAUAGUAUAUUUUCAGAGUCCAUUUUUUCUUAUGUCUUUAUAAGAUUUACUUAACUUAAAAACAGCUAUUUUAAAACAACCUUUUAUCUUCUGUCUUGCUAUCAUUGUUCCUACUUCCCUAGGAAGCCCUGGCUACCUUUGGCAUUAGGACCAGUCUGGGUUUUAAGGCUCUGGGAAGCAGGGUUGGGUUAGUAAAGACAGGAAUGUGGGGGAGAGGUGAGUAGUUCCUUCUUCUUUCUCCUCUCCAAUUUAUGCUUUUAACUUGUUUUCUACCUUGAUAAACUUCUGGAACUUGGCUUUUAAAUUUAACUUUUCUAGUUUUUAAGCAGUUUCCACCUUGCUUUGGUCUAAUGCUUUUCUUUGAAAUGCUAACAGAAUUCCCAAGCUUUUUCCAGUUCUAGGUAUCUUUACUAGACCUUUGGGGGACUCUUAUAAUGGAGCUGCUUUCGAAAAGCACUUUAAUUAGAUAAUGUAUUUUGACUAAAUCAUGAGGAUGCCCAGUGACAGCUUCUAGCUGAUCUCAGAGGACCAGAGUGACUGAGGGUAAAGUGUCUCACAGCCCAUGCUGAAUUUUCUGCAUUUUAAACUGAUACUGCAGUCAUUGGAGAGAGAGCUCCUCAUUUCUCGAAUGAAAGAUGAGAUAUAUUCAUCCUCAUGUACCACAUCUGUCUUAGUGUUUGCGUCUGGGGUGUGUUAUCUAACAGAGCAUGGUCUACAUACCACUGUGUCAACCAGAAGAACCAAGUGUUAUCUCAAUUGGCCCAGUGUUUCUCCAGGCUGGGGACUGUUAAGGGCUCUAAGGGAAUGUAGACAGAGUCUCCCUGUUAUUCUGACUUCCUGCUUGAUGAGCUUUCAGUUCCUGUUUUUGCUAUUGUUUCCUAAAUUUGACCUACAUAUUACAUGGGUGUAGUGUGUUGAGGCUUUUCAAAGAAGGGUCUAGUGAGCUAAGUUUCAUCUUCUGGUACUCAUUGAUCCAAACUGACCUUUCUAUUCUCAUAAGCGUUUCUACCCCAAGUUGUGUGUGGAAGGAGUGUAUAGCAGAGAGGAAAUCCCCUUCAACAGAGUCAGCUGCUAACUGAUUUCCUAUAAGCACACUGGAUUAAGGGCAGCUACAAUGUUGUCUAUUGUAUGUAUGAACCGAAUGGAGGAACGUUUUCAAAGAUUGAUUUGGUGUGGAUUGCAAUUGUAAUGGAAGGCAUAACUUGGGAUCCUGGGCUGUAACUUGCUCUUUUGUUUCCCACCCCCCUGACAUGUACGUGUGCUUUAAUAAAGCUUUCUCACUUGUC
rnacentral:sRNA from 1 species